UUCCUCUCCAACAUCACCGCAGGAAAUCAACAGCAGGUUCAGGCAGUAAUUGAUGCCAAUCUUGUACCAAUGAUAAUACACCUUUUGGAUAAGGGAGAUUUUGGCACUCAGAAAGAAGCUGCUUGGGCCAUAAGUAACUUAACAAUUAGUGGGAGGAAAGACCAAGUCGCCUAUCUCAUCCAACAAAAUGCUAUUCCACCUCUUUGCAAUUUGGUGACUGUAAAAGAUGCACAAGUUGUGCAAGUAGUGCUUGAUGGACUAAGUAAUAUAUUAAAAAUGGCUGAAGAUCAAGCAGAAACCAUAGCCAAUCUCAUAGAAGAAUGUGGUGGACUGGAGAAAAUUGAACAACUUCAGAAUCAUGAAAAUGAGGACAUCUACAAAUUGGCCUAUGAG
rnacentral:lncRNA from 1 species